UGUAUGUCACAAAAUUAAUACUAACACAUAAUAAUUUUAUCGCAAAUAACAAAAUAAGAUAACAAAAAUUAAGUAUAAGAUAUAGAAUCAAAAUUUAAGCGAUGCCCAAAAUUACCAUCUAUAAAGUAAAUAUUUAAUACUCAUAUCUUAGUUCAAUUUGCAUAAAAUCGACAAGAUUAACAAAUAUUCUUAUGAAAGAAUAGACUCCCACUCAAAAAAAAAAACUAUAUAUAGCACA
rnacentral:lncRNA from 1 species